CUUACAUACUCUAUAAUACUGAGUCAUGUCUAGUGCAUGAUGUGCGAUGGAAAAUUAUAUAUAUAUUUGUUAUGUAUCGCUUUUAACAUUGUCUUGAUGCAACGAUAUUAGGUCAGUGUCACUAAUUCCUUCCUGCCAAAGUCUUCAAAAGACCCGAGUGAAAAUAAAGCAAUACCAAAAUAAAGAAAUCUGAAUCGAUUAUGUUUUUAUACCAUCCACACAUAUCACUAAAACCGGACAGACGAAGAACGGAAAAAUGUCUUUUUUUUUUGGCAUCAAGCAUUCAGUUUUAGGGGUUUAGUGUCGCAACGGAUUCCUGAUCAUGACGCACCUGAGUGCAUGGAUGUUUUAACGUGUUGACAUUUAUUUUACAUGCAAAGUAUUGUUUAUUUAAAUUACUAUACCUUUCCUUUGAGCUCUAACCAGUCUGACAGUGUGAACACAGAAUGGUAAACCAGGUCAACUAUAGAGACUCUACAGUCUGUGGGUCAAAAUCGACAUCACAAUAUUUCCUCGUUUCAUGUUUAAAGUGAACAUUAAGUGAAGAUCCUGAUCUGAAUCUGCACUUCUGCUACCAGGCUACUGCAGGAAUAAUGGUAUUCCUAUUAAAGUGGCCGCCAAGGCUGUACAAAGACCCAAGCACGGGCGUGUUCCUAGAGGUCUGGUGUUGAUUAAGGAUGUGAGUGUGUGUAGGAAGUAAGCGUGGGUGUAAAUGGAUUUUCCCGAAACUGUUCAUCCUGAGGACCGAUUGACUCAAAAUAUCCAGACGUUGCCGGUGCCAUGUAAUCAUGACCAUAUCUGAUUAUAGCUGUUGAUACAGCAUUUAGAAGAGGGCUCAGGGGCCCAGCAGAGGCAGUCUAGUGGACAUGGGAUUUGAACUCACAACCUUCCAAUUGGCAGCCCAACACUUUAACCACCGUAACCACGUCUCCCAUGAAGCUUUAUGUCGCAAAAUAGAUCCCGUUAAUUAAUAAGAUUACCAAUUAAUUAGAUUAAUUAAUAAGAAACUUCUCGAUGACGUAGGAGGGUAGGCUGUGUUAUUGUGACUUAUUAUUAGGAGGGUAAACUGUGUUAUUGUGACUUAUUAAUAGGAGGGUAAACUGUGUUAUUGUAAAUUAUUAAUAGGAGGGUAGGUUGUGUUAUUGUGACUUAUUAACCUUUAGAGAAGUGACUGAUUUGUACAUCAGGUUUCUGAGCAUUGUCUGAUAUUAAAAAGUACACCCUCUAGUGGUCAAAUCCGUAAAUGCAGCCUAAUACACACAACACUCGGUCUGAAUUACUUCUUACCUUUUUUGCAGUUUUUCUCCUCCUUUUGUAUUUAAUUAUGAGGUUCAAAUACUUUAUUUUGGUGACCUUUUAUGCACUAAUUUGUGCUGGAUUAGCCCUCUAGUGGUCAAAUCCGUAAAUCCAGCCUAAUACCCACAACACUCAGUCUGAAUGACUUCUUACUUCUAUUCCAGUCCAUCUCUAUAAUAAAAGAUAGAUUGUUUUUACACAGUAAAAGCUGUACAUUUACAAAAGGAAUGAUACUAAAGUUACACAUUCAUACAGUAAUUUACUGGAACUGAAUCACCAGGUAAUUAAAAACAUGUAUGGAAUGAGUCUCCAGUGUCAGACUGUGUGUGAUAUGAGUGUGAUACAUUUAUUUUUUUUAGAUUUGAGAUGAAGAUGAAGUUAAAAAUAGAACCUUGUUCCCUCAUUUAUCUCGGUUGCACACAAAUAAUUUGGACCAAUCACUAA